rnacentral:rRNA from 1 species
AUCAAUAAGCGGAGGAAAAGAAACCAACAGGGAUUGCCUCAGUAACGGCGAGUGAAGCGGCAAAAGCUCAAAUUUGAAAUCCCCCCGGGGAGUUGUAAUUUGAAGAUUGCGUCUUGGAGGCGACCGUGUCUAUGUUCCUUGGAACAGGACGUCACAGAGGGUGAGAAUCCCGUGCGGCACGGCCCCCGGCUCCUUAUAAGGCGCUCUCGACGAGUCGAGUUGUUUGGGAAUGCAGCUCAAAGUGGGUGGUAAAUUCCAUCUAAAGCUAAAUACAGGCGAGAGACCGAUAGCGAACAAGUACAGUGAUGGAAAGAUGAAAAGCACUUUGAAAAGAGAGUGAAACAGCACGUGAAAUUGUUGAAAGGGAAGGGCAUGCCGUCAGAUUGUCAGUGUGGGUAAGAAGCGGGGUACAAAGACUGUGGAACGUGGCCCUCGGGUGUUAUAGCCGCAGUUCAUGCCCCGUCUCUUUCCGAGGCCUGCUUUGAGGACACCGACGUAAUGACGGUACGCCGCCCGUCUUGAAACACGG